UCUUAGGUUGUUCUGCUGCACCCUAAAUAA
rnacentral:piRNA from 1 species